CAUGCUGUAAACGAUGAUUACUAGGUGUGGGGAGAUUGACCCUCUCCGUGCCGCAGUUAACACAAUAAGUAAUCCACCUGGGGAGUACGACCGCAAGGUUGAAACUCAAAGGAAUUGACGGGGGCCCGCACAAGCAGUGGAGUAUGUGGUUUAAUUCGAAGCAACGCGAAAAACCUUACCAGGUCUUGACAUCCAACGACCGCCUAAGAGAUUAGGCUUUCCUUCGGGACGUUGAGACAGGUGG
rnacentral:rRNA from 1 species